UGGGGAAUAUUGGACAAUGGGGGCAACCCUGAUCCAGCCAUGCCGCGUGAGUGAUGAAGGCCUUCGGGUUGUAAAGCUCUUUUGGCGGGGACGAUGAUGACGGUACCCGCAGAAUAAGCCCCGGCUAACUUCGUGCCAGCAGCCGCGGUAAGACGAAGGGGGCUAGCGUUGUUCGGAAUUACUGGGCGUAAAGCGCGUGUAGGCGGCUGUUCAAGUCGGGUGUGAAAGCCUUGAGCUCAACUCAAGAAAUGCACUCGAUACUGGAUGGCUAGAGAGCCGGAGAGGAUAGUGGAAUUCCCAGUGUAGUGGUGAAAUACGUAGAGAUUGGGAAGAACACCAGUGGCGAAGGCGGCUAUCUGGACGGUUUCUGACGCUGAGACGCGAAAGCGUGGGGAGCAAACA
rnacentral:rRNA from 1 species